rnacentral:lncRNA from 1 species
CCCCUGGAGUGUCACCAGCUCCGCACCGAGGGCUCCUUGUGGCACCCAGAGGAAAUUUGGGGGGCUCCGAGUGGCAGCGGGACCGGCGCAGCCCUCGCGAGGGUCCCGAGUGCCACCACGUCCUCGUGUCACCAAGAGGAACGGGGUGGGGGGCUUCGAGCAAGAGCCCCUCGGGUGCCACCAGCUCCUCGGGUGCCACCAGCUCCUGGAGUGCCACCAUCUCCUCGGGUGCCACCAGCUCCUGGAGUGCCACCAUCUCCUCGAGUGCCACCAGCUCCUUGAGUGAGUGCCACCAUCUCCUUGAGUGCCACCAUCUCCUUGAGCGAGGGCCACCAGCUCCUUGAGCGAGUGCCACCAGCUCCUGGAGUGCCACCAUCUCCUUGAGUGCCACCAUCUCCUUGAGUGAGUGCCACCAGCUCCUGGAGUGCCACCAUCUCCUUGAGCGAGUGCCACCAUCUCCUCGGGUGCCACCAGCUCCUUGAGUGCCACCGUCUCCUUGAGCGAGGGCCACCACCUCCUUGAGCGAGGGCCACCACCUCCUUGAGCGAGUGCCACCACCUCCUUGAGCGAGUGCCACCAUCUCCUUGAGUGAGUGCCACCAUCUCCUCGGGUGCCACCAUCUCCUUGAGUGCCACCAGCUCCUGGAGUGAGUGCCACCAGCUCCUGGAGUGCCACCAGCUCCUUGAGCGAGUGCCACCAUCUUGGGUGCCACCAUCUCCUUGACUCCUGGAGUGCCACCAUCUCCUCGGGUGCCACCAUCUCCUGGAGUGCCACCAUCUCCUGGAGUGCCACCAUCUCCUCGGGUGUCACCAUCUCCUUGAGUGCCACCAGCUCCUGGAGUGCCACCAGCUCCUGGAGUGAGUGCCACCAUCUCCUCGAGUGCCACCAUCUCCUGGAGUGCCACCAUCUCCUCGGGGGCCACCAUCUCCUGGAGUGCCACCAGCUCCUGGAGUGCCACCAAGAGCCCCCCGAGUGUCACCAGGACCGGCUCAGCCCCCCUGUGCGGGUCCCUGGUGUCACCGGGGUCUCUCUCUGUGUCACACGCCGCCCUCGGGCGUCCACCGGGACCCCCCCCGAGCACCGGGACCCCCAAAUUCCACCGUCCUCGUGCACCGGGACCCCCCCUCAGGCAUCAGGACCCCCGAGUUUCCUCGCCCCCCUCCUCGGGCACC